ensembl:lncRNA
UAUAUAUAUAUAUAUAUAUAUAUAUAUAUAUAUAUAUAUAUAAUUCUUUCUUUAAUUCAAUUUUAGUAAUACUUUAAAUUAUUUGUUUAUCACAGAGAGACGUAAAAUGUAUUCGAUUAUUUAAUAAAUGUAAAUUUAAGAGCUGCAGAGACUACUAAUUUUCAUUAAUUCACUAAUUGUAUAUUUUAAGCCAGUUUUGACAUUUGAUUUAUCCCAUAUGAAUUAUAAUAAUUGAAAUCAGCAUGAAUGUGUUAAAAUAUGAAUAUGAUACAGAGAGGAUGAUUUUUUUCAAGUUAAACUAAGGUUUUGAAAUUACUUGAAACUAGUGUUUCACACUUCUUUAUAACAUGUUAAAAAGAGAAAUCACUAUGCAUUCAAUAACAUCAAUACUGUUUGGCAUAGUGAGAAUACAACAAUGCUCCUAUAUUGUUAAAGCCACAUUGGUAAAUCUUUAAAGUUUAAAAAAAGUUGGUAAAAUUUAGUUUAAUUCUUGAUUGUACUCUUUGAUUUUGUUUUUCUUUUCUACACUUUGUCUGUAUGUAUGUAUGUAUUUGUGUGUAUAUGUAAGUAUAACGAAAAAUGAGAAUGGUAUUGUUCCUAUGUGACAGGAAGUAUGUUUUAUUUAUCAAUAAAAAUAUUUUGGAGAAAAAAAAAUUGAAUUCACAGAGUAAAAAUAUUAAAAGAUAUUCUUUAAUUCUGUAAUUGUCUCAACAUAGGCAUAUAGGCCUAUGUUUAUAUUACAUUUUUACAAGAUACCAGGUUCCAUAGUAUAUUUGGAAAUUUUUCAUAUGAAGGCUUUUCCCAAGACAUCAUACAACACCUACAUUACCAAAUAUAUCACAGUCACAGCUUGCUUUUUCUUCUUAAAAAUGUCUAUUCUUUCCAGUUCCAUAAAAUGGAGGGGGGGCACUGAAAUGGUAUUUGUUUUAUGGACAAAACAUGACAAUAAACUUCAGUUCAUGGACGCAUGUAUCUAAUGGUUGGUCUGAGUUUUUCCCAGUGUAAAGGCUCAAUUAUUUGGCCGCUGAUUCACUGUUGCUCAUAUCAAAGACGCUAUUUUUCCAAACCAAAGAUACAAAUUCUUCGUCUGAGUCUUUCUCCCUGUUUUAAUUUUUUUUUGUUUUUUUUUUUUACCCUGAACAGGGUAACAGCAAGUUUGUGGAGUAUAAAUGUUAACUUCUUUAUAUACUUUCUUCAAAGAAACCAAGUCAAAGUUUUUGAUCAUUGUUCUUCCAGUUAUUAAUCAUUAUGAAACAAGAUAUUUUAUUCACAUUUCUCACACUGUCCAUUUAAACCUUGUCAGGCUUUCACUGUUUAACCAUAUUAGUAGUGUUUAAAACAGCAUGUUAGGUUAUUGAUUAAUUUUUUUUAAAAAAUAGCCAGCAUGAUCUCAUCCAUUGUCUAUGCAUGUACUUAAGGUACUUACAUACUUAAUGUAUGCAGGAAAAUGUGUAAAGGAUUCUUUGUCUUUAUAAAAAAAUAUAUCUGUACAACCGCAAAACAAAUGACGCGAAUGAAUAAAACUUAUGCAUGUUAGUCCAGUGUAAAUAUUUUACAUAAUUGUAACCAUUGAUAUGAAUUUGUGAGAUUUGAUUGAUUGCUUGCUAUUGACUUACUAGUGAGGGGCCAUGUCAUACCAUGGCAAUCAUCCUUUUUUUCCUCUUGUGUGAAUGUAUUUAAAUGCACGUGUCUUUGGGGGUGAGGGGAGAAAAGAAGGGUGGUAGCUGGUGUCUAAAUCUUGUAAAAUGGUUUUCCUAAUAUGGGCUGUCUCUCCUGAGACUCCUCCUCUUCCCUAUAAGUGGGCAGGACUCUAUCCUCUUAUUCAGCCAGUGAUGACACAGCUACGACUCACUUCCCCAUUAAUUGGCUGAAACCAGUUCUUACAGGAACUGUCGGUGAUAAAUCUCUGUUACGCAGUUUGUUGCCUCUCUCCUGAAGACGAACCUUGAGGUGUUGGAGCAACACCGGCAGUGAGUAUCACAACUUUUUUUCUCUAUCUGUUCUACCGUUCUUCUUCUAUCACUGUUUGCUAAUGCAUUGUACAUGCAUAAUUUAUUAGCUAAUUGUAGUGUUGCGGUGGGUUGGUGCUGUCAUUCAUGGUGGAAGAGUGUGGUGUGGCAGAGUUCAUUGUGUGUCUAGGGUUAAAAUGGAGUGGUGACUGUGGCCUGUUCAGGGUCUGGCUCCUGAGGGAUGCUGAGUCAUGCUCAGCAGGUGGAGCUGCUAUGACUGAAGUGUACACUCCCCCACGUCACUCACAACCCCCACCCUCCAUCCCCCUUCCCCUUAGCAAGCGAACCCUGUUGAACUCGAUGCAGGCUGAUCGAGACAGGAGGGGCCCCCAGGGGCUGAGAGGGUGGGGGAAUUCUACUCCCAAUUCCUGCCACUAACAAUCUCUCACAACUCUGUAGAAGCUGUGGAAACAAAGACAUUACACCUUUUAGCUCACUGCUCUUCUAGGUUGGCCUGCUUUUGACUACUUCCGUUUUUUGUUUUUUUGUUUUUCACCUGAAUCGAUUUCUUUCUUGUAACUUAAUCUUCCUGGUUUGAAAAGCUUUGGAGCAAAAAGCUAUUUAACUGGUAAUAAGAAAUACCGGCUUGCAUCAGAUGCAUCUAGAAGGAAAAGGGGAUGGUGAAAAUAUUGAACAUUAAAUGAGAUUUUAAAUUACUCUGUUCCUUAAGGAUUGUUUGUUUGUGUGUGUGUGUGUGUGUGUGUGUGUGUGUGUGUGUGUGUGUGUGUGUUCUCUCUCCAUUGUGCAGGAUGAAAACUCGCUCUCCUGGGUGUUUCAGAAGGUGGUGACCAUCUUGUGUGUGUGUGUGUGAGUGUGAAUGAGUGGCAGAGAAAUAUUCAGGGGGUAAAAUUAAAAACUUUGUGUGGGUGUAGUUGUGUGUCAAAAGAGUGAGAAUGAAAUUUUCACCAGGUUGUUUCACUCACAUACUACCUGAGCCUGUCUGUAUUUCUCAAAUUAAAAAAAAAAAGAAGAAGAAGAAUUUUUGAGUCUCUUUGUUCUCCUUUGUACCUGUGAAAAGUAAUUGGCUUCUUACAGAGUUUAAUAUAGUAAAUGGGGCUGGAGAGAUGUAAGGUUGCAGCAUUGUGUUUUGGCAGAACAGCUUUAUUUAAAAGUGCAGGAACUUAUUGACCAUUGAGGCCUUCAGAUUAUGACAUCUAGAUAUAUUUUAUUCUCAAUAAAUCAUACAUAUAUCUCAAUAAAUAAGUCAUCAUUUACAUUUGGGUUAUGAAAUAGUGUUGGUGCUAAACACUGAAACUGUAAUAAAUAUCAGUGAAUCAUACUGUAGUUUCCAGUAGUUACUGUUUAAUUUCCAUAGACUGAGAAACAACUUGUUAGUCAGACCAGGGCUUCACAAUCCUGGUAAUAUGUGCAAUCAUAUGAACAUGAAUUUUUCAGAGAUUGUGGAUGAGUGGAUGGAGGUUCACUAUUCUUGAGCAGUUCACCUUUUUGUGUAUGUUUUAUCUGACUGAGAUCACAACUGUGCUUAUAUUGACAGCAGAAUACUGACUGUUGUUGGGCUGUCACUGUUUAUAUUAAUGAGACUGGCUGAUAGUAUGUCUGACAUUGUGACUACUGUUUUGUGAUAUUGAGGGUUUCAAAUUUAGGUGUAUGUUGUAUAUCUUAUAGAGAUCUUCUCUAAAAUACUCCCUGAUCAGAACCGUGCUUAUAUUGGAAGCAGAAUACUGAUUAUUGAUGGGCUCUCACUGCUUAUGUUAAUGAGACUGGCUAAUAAUAUGUCUGAUAUUGUGACUACUUUUUUUAUGUUUUUCUUUAGGUAAUGCAAUUCAUUCAGAAGUUUCUAAACAAUGUUAAAGAUUUUUGUGUUCUUUUAUGCCUGGUCUUGGCACUCAUAAUAAGGUAUAAUGGGUGCCAAGACCCAAUAUUAAUUAAUGCAAUAUGAUGUAAUUUAUUUUUUGUUCCUUGAUUAUACAAAAGCUUCUUUGCCUCUUUUUUCAUUUUGUAAUUUUUUUUUAGAACUGCUUGUGAAAUGUUUUCUCCCUCAUCUGUGCUUUUUUGUAACACUGCCCUGGUAUGCUAGCCUGGAAGCUUCAGGCAUAUAAAAAAAAAUGGAACAGUGUGGGGUUUCUUUGCUGUUACCUUAGCUGAACCCUGGGCUGAACUCAAUGCACUGUACUGCUGGCAGGAAGGAUAUGAAGAAGAGAGAGAAAGGGGGAUACAAGCAAGAGGCUAAGCAUGUUCAGCUAGCGGACAUGCUCGUCAGUGAAUGGGAAGCACAUUUUGAACCGCUAUAACAGGACAUAUUUGGUUACAAAAUAACAGAAUAUGGCCUCCAACAACCACCUCCUACCAUUCCUCUUUGUCUAUGGUAAGUGUUCUUUUCUUUCCUUUCCAUUUUAUUCUUCAUGUGUGGAUCAGGCAUUUCCAUCCAUCUCUCCCAGUGUGUCAGAUAGCUUAUCAGACUGGUGUUGGCUGUUUUAAUGCAUGGCGACAACAGUCUGUAGGCUGUCUGACAUUUUGGGCUUUUUCAUCCAAAAAUACACCUUAUUUGUUAUCUUCAAGUUUGUUUUAUUGUUAUUUCUUGUCUUGCUUUUAAAUAGUUUGCCAUGGUUCAGUGAUUUAAGCUAAACUUUUCCCUUUAAACUAUUGGAUGAAGUAGUACAGUUUUAUAAAUGCGUAUGUAAAUAACCAGUACAUGUAAUUCUCUACAUUUCUGUUCAUACAUUUAUGUACUAUAAUUUUCCCUUUUGGGGUGAGAGAGAGAGAGAGAGAGAGAGAGAGAGAGAGAGAGAGAGAGAGAGAGAGUGAGAGAGAGUGUGUGUGUGUGUGUGUGUGUGUGUGUGUGUGUGUGUGUGUGUGUGUGUGUGUGUGUGUGUGUGUGUGUGUGUGUGUGUGUGUGUGUGCGUGCAUGUGAGCUUGUGUGUGUCCGGAGCCUUCCUUCAACUACCUAUGUUUUUUACAAAUCCAAAACACACUUUAUUGCAACAUACAAUGUUAUGACAGUUUUGCUGUUUGGACUGCUUAUCCCUCCCCUCUCUGUUUAUUGCUUUUAUGGAUCAGUGUUUAUUUGUCUCUGGGUCUGCAAUAAUUUCUUCAUUCUUUUUUUGCUUAAAGUGACUACACUGGCAUAGAUGUCCCUCUGAGGGAACCCUUAUAGUAUGUCCCUCUGAGGGAACCCUUUACACCCUUUUAGGAGUCUAAGAUCCCUUAAAGAAUGCCUGAAGAACCUAAGAGUGCACCUUUUUUCCUUUUUAAUCUCAGAUUUGUGAUCAAGAGACCUUUUUUGAAUUGCUUCCUAGUUCUGAACAUUCUAUUUUUUAUUUCUUGGUAAAUUUUGUUUUUCGUAUGACUAUUUGUAUGAUUAUAUAAGUGUAUAUUAACAAAAAUAAACAAGGUUGCAUUAAUGCUUAGUCUGGCUCUUUGUUUCUUGCUGUGGCAUGAUUGAUCACCCUAUACCAAAUGUCUGAGAUAUCUAUAUAUCAUUAUAUCUGUGUGUCAUCUCUCUCAAAAGACCCAUUUACAGAGACAUACUUAUCUAUUUCAUCUAGAAAUAGUUGAAAAGACAGCUUUAUGGUCAAAGACUGAAAUAAGAAAGUUAUUGAACACAUCUUAUUAUAUUUAAUGAGUUAAGACUUCAUCCAAGAUAUAGUGAAUAGUACCUCUACUCACAUACCCCGUGUCUGUACUCAUUUCACUUUAGUGUGUUUUUUUUUCUUGAGCCGUUUGUGCACCUUUAUUUCUUUAAUUAGAGUUUUUAUUGUCAUUUGUGUAUGCACUUGUGAAAAUGACUUUGCUUCUUACAGAGUCCAAUAUAGUAAAUGGGGCUGGAGAGGUGUAACGUGUGUGCAAUAAGUCAUUCAUAAACAGAGUAUGUCAUAUCCUUUGCAACUUAUAUCCUGGAAACUAUUCCAGUUUGGUAGUUUGGUACAUAGUUGGUACAUACGUAGUUUGGUUUCUGAAGCAAUGAUAUAUCUGCCAGACGGUUUUAAACUGUCAGUUAUUGAUUAAUAUUACCUUUUCAAAUUCACAAGGGAAAUGUAUUCUAUUUAUGGCUAUAUGACUAAAUUGUCUCCUUCAGUGGGCUAUUCUAUACUACUUUCUAAUGAUCAGAAUUAUGCAAACAAUAAAUUUUUAAAGGUAAACUGAGAAAAGUAGCAGUGUAGAAGCCAAGUCAUUUUCUAAUUUGUAAGUCACUUUCGAUAAAAGCGUCUGCUAAAUGAAUAAAUGUAAAUGUAAAUGUAGUAUAGCAACAGUUAUUAAUCAUGGGUAAAACUGUUAAUUUCUCAGUCUCACCCCCAAACUUGCCUUAAUACCGCAUAACAUUGUUUUUAAAAUGCAAAAGAAUACAUACUCUCACAUAUACAUACACUGGAUGGUCCUUCAAAUGGCCCCACCAACAUUUAAUAUGGGGUUGUAUUUUCCAUCCAUCUUCAACCGCUUACUCCUUUUCAGGGUCACGAGGAACCUGGAGCCUAUCCCAGGCAGCAUCGGGCACAAGGCGAGGUAUACCCUGGACAGGGUGCCAUUCCAUCGCAGGGCACACAAUCACACACACAUUCAUACACUAUGGACACUUUAGACACGCCAAUCAGCCUACCAUGCAUGUCUUUGGACUGGGGGAGGAAACCCCCACAGUGAACAUGCAAACUCUGCACACAUAGAGCUGCGGGAAUCGAACCCUGACCCUGGUGGUGUGAGGCGAACGUGCUAACCAAUUCAUUACCAAUAAAUGGCCAAGGAAUAAAAAUAGGAAUUCUGUCUGAAAGUUUCACUGAAACUAUUAUGCAAAUCUCUUGUUCAAAUAUUUAAUUUUAAUAAGGCUUUAAUAUUAUACAGUCACCUCUGAAAGUAUUGGAAAGGCAAGGCCAAUUCUUUUGUUUUUGCUAUAUAUUGAAGACAUUUGGAUUUGGGUCAUUCCAUCUCAAGUGGUCCAAUGCAGGUUGCUCGACUGAGUGAUUACCUAAGUUACAUUUAACUACGAUGGCCGUCUUUGUGUUGUGUCAAGGCAAACAACAAAUUUUGGUUAUACAGCUGUUCAUGGAAACCUCAAUAUCUCAGCUCAGGACGGGCCAAGCUCCUUGGAACAAAAGCUGAUCUCUAGAGCACAUUACAAGGUACAUGCACAUUUUGCACAUUUGUUUUCCUUAGAUUUAGAACUUACAGUAGUGCUUAAAAGUUUGUGAACCUUUUACAAUUUUCUAUAUUUAUGUAUAAAUAUAAUCUUAAGAUUUUCAAACAAGUCCUAAAAGUAGAUAAAGAGAACCCAAUUAAACAAAUGAGACAAAAAUAUUAUACUUGGUCAUUUAUUUAUUGCAGAAAAUGAUCGAAUAUUACAUAUCUGUGAGUGGCAAAAAUAUGUGAGCCUUUGCUUUCAGUAUCUGGUGUGACUCCAUUGUGCACCCCAUUGUGUUUAUCAGUCCUGCACAUUGGCUUGGAGGAAUUUUUGCCCAAUUUUCAGUACAGAACAGAUUUGGCUCUGGGAUGUUGGUGGGUUUCCUCAAAUUAACUGCUUGCUUCAGGACUUUCCACAACAUUCUUAUUGGAUUAAGGUCAGGACUAUGACUUGGCCAUUUCAAAACAUUUAGUAAACUUUAUUCUUCUUUAACCAUUCUUUGGUAGAACGACUUGUGUGCUUAGGGUCAUUGUCUUGCUGCAUGCCCCAUUUUCUCUUGAGAUGGACAGAUGUCCUGACAUUUUCCUUCAUUCAUUGUUCCAUCAAUGAUGGCAAGUGGUUCUGGGCCAGAUGCAGCAAAACAGGCCCAAACCAUGAUACUACCACCAGCAUGUUUCACAGAUGGGAUAAGGUUCUUAUGCUGGAAUGCAGUGGAAUACAGAAACAUAUGGCUUAAUCAGAUCAGUGAAGGCCAGCACAGGCGCAGUAGUCAGACACUGAAUUAUCUGGUGGAGCGCUUCAGUGCAAGACAAGGUAAGUACUGGAUUUCUUUUGGUCAAAUUUCCUAUAGUGCUGCAUUGGGACAUAACCCUUGGUGAGCUCUGUAAGGGGUUUAACAAUUCUCGCAUAAUCAGCAAUUAAUCAAUUUAUAGUAAUACGAGCAGAAUCCUAGAAAGGAUUUCAAUGAUUUAAGGUCUACAGGUUGAGACCAGGUGGUAAAAGCCUUAACCUUGUUUGGAUCAAUCAGUUGCAAUACCCUCAGCAGACACAACAUGCCCUACAUAUUUCACUUUAGCUUGACAAAAUUUGCAUUUAUUCAGUGAAAUUUUUAGACCAACUUCCUCCAACCUGUCUAAAACCCUAAUGUGCCUGUUUUCAUGCUCUUACAAUGACUUUCCAAAGACGAUGAGAUCAUUAGUGUAAACUAGGACCUGAAGAAGGUUCGUAUCCCCCACAGCUUUUUCCAUCAGUCUUUGGAAUGUUACCAGAGUUCCAGUAAUGCCCUG